CCCGCGCCGCGCCUGUUCAGAGUCCGAGGGGAAGGACCGGCCCGCAGCGACGGAGUCACGCUGGUGCCUGUCUGUCGUCUGCGCAGUGCCGGGUUGGAGCUCUCCGCCGCGUUUGAUUCCUUCAGAGAACCCAGUGUUCAUCCGAUGCGCAGGCAGCGUCAGCAGCAGCAUGCAGCCCUCUGGUGAGGCCCCAAGACUAGUGGCGGAUGCUCAUUGGAGCCAGCAGCAGCAGAGAGUGGGGCAGCACCAGCAGCUGAAGGCUGAGAGAGCAAAGAAUGGAGAGGCAUAAAACAGGAAAACCCACAACAUGCGUCCUUGAGGGAAUACUGAACAGCAGAGAGAGAACACAUCUCCAGAACCCAGUCACAGAAACUUGGAAAAUCAUCCUUCCUAUUAGACACAGAACUCAAAACUGCCUCAGAAAGGAAGUGAAGGGAAAAAAUCAGAAAAACAAAUGAAUGUCCCGAGAAAUGAAAUCAGCAAACUGAAGAUUGAAAUUGGAACUUUAAAGAAGAAAUUGAUGGUGGACCUGCAGUAUAAAAAAAAUUUAACAGAGUAGAUGGAAAAUUCUGAGAUUCCUGAGGUCUGUAAAUAAUUGCCUUUAAGGAUAAAAAUAAAUAGAAAUUAAAUAAAAAUAGACCUCAAUUAAGAGGUGUCAAAUGUACACCCUCCACUGCCCGGGUGGCUACACACUGCCAACUGCUCUGUGCCCUUCCCACCACUGCUUCUACCAGCGGUGCCAGUUCUGGAGCUUCAGGGAAAGGGGAUUAGUUUCUUUGUGCCUGACUUUUGUGAGUAGUAGUGGUUCGAAGGAUGGCUGUUCCAGGUAAAGGAAAUGUAAUUUAUGGAAUAAAUACAUGAUUUUUUUUCUUUUGUUCUUAAAAUGUAGAGCAGAGUGGUGGGCGCUCACAUGGGAUGUUUGUGCUUAUUAUAUGAAGUAUGGCAGUGUGUAAAGGGAGAGCGUUCCAAACCGCACCAGAAAAAGCCCUACUGCGCAUUAUAGGGAAUAUUCUCAUAGAUUCGCCACACUUUUAAGUAUAAAUCCUGUUCUCAUACAUAUUUUUAUAUUUGCACUGCAUUUCUGCGUCCUGCGUCUUGGACAGCACGUGAAGCAGAGGGACUGAGGGUCAUGUCCUAAUCAGAAGUCACAGCCUUCUCUGGCCAUCUGUGGAAAUAGUGGCCAACAAAAUGUGGUUGGAUUAGCAUUUAUUUGCUAUACUUACUUGUCACACAGAACCUUUAUGGCCAGGCUAAAACAGAAAAAAUAGUAUGUGAAUGCAGUAGAGUGAAGCCUGACCGUGAAGAGCUCGUAUGAGGACCAGCGACCGGCCUGCAUCAUGCCCUCAGCAGGCCCAAGCCUCCAGCUCCCUCUGUGCUUUCCUUCCCCUGCUCGCCUAGUCUGAGGAAUCCCAGGUUGGUCACGAAGUUCCUGCAGCCCAACUCUCCUACUGUCCAGGCCAGAUUUCUUAGUGCUGCUAACCCCAAAUGCCUCCUGGCCACCUUUGCCCAUCCUGCCCUUGCGCCGUCUCUUCCAUCCGUUCACAUUUCCGGGUAAUGCCUUGAUGGCAUCGGUCGCAGCUCUUCUCCCAGCUUGUGCCUUUUCGUAGGUCCUUGUUAAUCUUGUCAUGCUUUGACAUUUCAUUUGAAUUUCGGAUUCACUCUCUUCCUUUGUGUUUCGUGGUUUUUAGUGUCUUGUUUAAGAAACCUUUUACUAUUUCACAAUUACGAAGGUGCUCGUCUAUAUUUUCCGCACAGUUUAAAACCUUCAUUCUUUAGAUUUUUUCAUUAACCUUCCAUUUUUGGUGCAUGAGCUAGAGACAUAUUUUUUAUAUUUGAAAAACUUAUUGUUGUUGAAUUUUUUAUUGUAACUUAAUUUUCACCGUGGGUAAUGUCAUUGGCGUCAAAUCUGGUUUCUGCACAUCCAUGGAUUGCUCCUUCCUUUCGCUGGUCACUAUGUUCUCAUGUGAACAUCACACUGUCACAGUGAUUCUACUUUAUAAUGAGAAGUAAUAGCAGCAGGAUGUUAACAGCAGACGAUAGCCAUCGUCUUUCUUCACCAUUACCUUUGCAGUGUCAGGUGCUUUAUCACUCUGUUAACUGCAGAGCCCGCUUGCCAGCUUAAGACAUUUAUAGGAAAUGUCAGUUUCCGCCUGUUUCUUCUCUGCUCCUCAGUUUCUCCUCUGCUUUGCACUGGCUGCUGGUGGUGGUGGUGAUGAAAGAUACUCAUUUUUUAGUGUCUUCGUGAGUGGUUGUUACCUUUAUCACUCUAUCAACCUGGACUUUUAAAGACCUUCAGUACAGAAGCUCCAUCAGCCCACCCCUGGAUUUAUUCUUAUUUUCCCCUCCUCCAAAAGUGGCUCCAAAUCUUCACUGUCCUACAUUAUUUGAUUAAGUUUUCUGUUGGUACCUCUAAGUUAUUUUGAACUCAGAUGCUCUUGGUUUUUGCUUACCAGGGAAACUUUUUAUUGCCCUCAUUCCUACGCAUGGCUGUAACUCCUCUUGUACUGAGCAUCUUCCUUGUUCAUGUCUCGCUGCUCACUGUCAUCUAGAGCUCAUCUUCCAAAUCCUCCCACGCUCAGUAAUCUCUCAAAUGUUCAUUUUCUUCUUCUCUACUACCGCUAUAACCGGGUGAUUGCCAGAUUUUUCACUGUCACCAAAUAAUUUUUUAAUUGAGAAAUCCACAUAGGUCGGCCAACUUUUUAUUUUGCAAAGAAAAAGCACUUGAAAGUUACAUAACAAAACAAAGCAAAAACUACCAUCAUUUCCUACUGAAGGCACAACAUGGUAGCUGAGACCACACACUCUGGAGCUGGACAGGGUAGACUAGAAUUCUGGCGCUGCCAGGGUGUAUUCUAUAACCAGUCGAAAUGUAAACAAUUCCUACCUCUUACUGCUGUAUACACUAAUUUAGUGAGCUAAAACAUACGAGGCAAUCUGGAGAGUCACUGCCACGGAGAUGCACACAGGUAGUGUCACACUGCACAUCGCUGUCCACACCUCUCUGCUGCAGCUGCACCUGACUGUGCUCUGCAGGGGUUGCUCUGGGACUGGUGGCUCUGACAGCACCUUGCGUCAGCACGCUCCCGUCCGGCCUUGGCGCCUCCUUAAGGUUGCUGUAAGUACAGAAUGCCUGAGGGAGCCCAUGCGCUUUCUGGAGAAUCUUCUGUCUCCUUUUAUUCUGAAAAGGUAGAUCAAAAGUACAUAAUGCAAGUUAAUCUUGAGGGGGGAAAGUGUUUCACGUGACGCACACAGAGGUGCGUGUGUUAGACUUCUCGACUGCAGCUCUGAAAGCUCAAGGAUAAGGAGCGGUGCUCCAGAAUUCUCAAAGAGAAUUACUUCUAGUUUAAAAUUCUUCAUUAGUCCAAGGGAGCAACUGUGAAGCUAAAAGUUACUUUCAAGUCUGAAAGUCUCAAAAAGAUACAUUCCAUGCAUCCUUUCUAAAAAGCUAAUGCAGGAUGUAUACCCCCCCAAUGACCAGUAAACCAAGAAAAGGUGGGACAUGAGCUCAAGAGAACGUGAAAUCCAAAAUAAGAGCAGUGAAGGGAGCUAUAGACUGAUGGAUUGCAACAUUUGGGUGAAAUUCAUGGAAUACCUAAUGCUUGAAUAAACAGAGAAACUUAUUUUCCUGGGCUAUACUUUCGGGUUAAGUGAAUGAUUGCAUGAGAAACUAAGUGAAAUUUACUAAAUCUGUCAACUUUUUUCAGGAGAUAACACAACUUAUUGAAAACAGUAUUUUUAUUUUGGUGUUUGGCAUGCUUACACUACACGCUUCCCUUCUGUAAGAAUCCACAUUUUAACUGCCUUGCUGUACCCAGUUUUCAGCGGAAAUAUACAGUGAACUUAAACACACAAUUAGAAACAAAACAAAAAUCAAUUGACAACAGAUGGUAAAACUUUUAAAAUCCUCUUCAAUACACUCUGAUACCACAAACAAGGAGGGUACAGAAUUGCCCGGUGCGGCAUUCUGGAGAAGCGGUAGGAGAGGGAACUUGGAAAGGCCAGGCUGAAGUGCUACGUUUGCAGUUAGCGACUAGAAAUACAGAGUAGCGAGAUGCAUACGCACAGUAAAGACAACUCAGUGGAUCUCUGAAGUUUUUUUUUUGUUUUUUUUUGGGGGGAAGUUACCUUUUUGUGCCUUAAUAAUUGUAUGCUUAUUAUAACCUUCACAUGCUCAUUAAAAUAAUAGGGCUUUCUUAUUUAUGUCAUCAACUUAUGGAACUGUUCUACUUCAAGUGUGAUGAUCUAGACAUUAAUGAAAACAGGAAUGUGACUAAUGGAACUAAUAAUACCUUGCUUUAUAUUACCCAACUUUUUUGUUUAUCUUGCCUUUGAGCUUAUAAACCUAGCGACGUUUUAUGGCUAAUACCAUUCAGAUUAAAGGCUUCCGGUAAUACCUCGGUAAUAUGGCUGAUCUGUUAAGAUAAUCUAUAGGUUACACACUGCAGGAAAUUAACAACUGAAGAACAUAAGCAUGGCCAUGUUUAAGUGGGUAAUUUCCUAUUCCUCAUUCACAUCAACUUAAAAUAUUUAACACAUCAGUUUGAUAUUCACAACUUUUCACCUGCAUUUCCCACUUGUUAUAAUUACAAAAUGCAUUGUUUUUUGCAACUAUCUUUACAGAUUGCAAAAAAAAUAGGUAUCCUAUUUAUAAAUUUUUAAAACUUUACAUACACAUCCUUGAUUAUACACAGGCAAUUUCUGGAGCAAUACAUAGAAGUAUCAUGACUUCUGUGGAAGAAAGAAUUGAUGAGGUUUCUUUCGACUUUGUAUUUUUCAACUUCAUACAAGUAUUUUAUAAUUUGAAAAUUUUAAUUACAAACCGUAAAAAUGUUUGGAUGAAAAAAAAAUUUUCUUUGGAUGAAGAGAAAAGCCUGGGGAAAAUCCACGUUUAUAAUUGAAGUCUUUACCCUGCUUUCAGAAAAUCCACAGUUGUAGCAGGCAGAAAAUCAGUGCAGAUACAGAGGACAGUGUUUCCAUCAAUAAGAUAAGCCUGAUUGACAAUAUAGAAUGGCAGUACUUCACCCAGUAAUAACAAAACAUUCUCAAAAAAAUACAUUUGUCUUUAUAAAACAACUUGUAUACAAAAAGAUAAUAAACAGUACAUUUAGAAGAAUAUAGUACAAGCUACAAUGUAGUAACAGCACAAGGGAAUAAACAAUAUAACUGAAAACGAGUUGGACAGAGGAUAUGAAUUCAGCAAAAAAAAUCCAGAGGUGCUCAGAAUUAGAAAAAUCAGGAAAAUGCAGAUCAAUUAAUGAAAUGUCUCAGAUUGACAGACCAUUUUUUUCCCAUUCAACUGCCAUUUGUGUGAUAGAGACUGAACUAAACAAACAUCUAAUGUAGUGUUUACAAAGUACUAUGCAGUGAAUCUUGACCCUGUUUCACAGUUGAGAAAAAGACCAGCUACAUAACUAUGACAUGAAUCAUGUAAAGGAGACUGGGAGUUCACUGUGAAACUACUAUUCUUUUUGAGUAGAUAAUUCAUUCAAAUUUGUGUGUGAUCUAGAGGGAGAUUAAUGUUUGGAAAGCUUCCCCACGAAUUUAUAGUCUCCCUUUUUUUCAAAGCAAAAGUUAUGCUCUGUUCCACAACUCACUUGUUUGGGUAACAUCUUAAAGGCUGACGUAGCUCCAUAAUGACAGUAGAUCACUGAUGACUCCAGACCCUACCAUGUCACUCCUGGGAGUGGGGAAUGCAAGGAGAGUAAACCUCAAGGGCAUGUCAUGGAAGCUGUGGCCAUCGUAUCCACGUAGAGCUGAUGGAUCAAAAUGUCAUGUCAUGUGGCCCCACCUUUAAGGUGUGAUGGAAGGCAGUCCUCAGCUGGAGGCAGGGUACCAAGCUAAUACCAAAGGAAGAGAAGAGAGGACACCGAAUAAAGGACAUGGUCUCAGCCAUGACAAACUAGACAUAUGUGAGCUAGCUAGCAAGGGAUCAGGGACACCCCUUCUCCCAAAACUUAACGUAUUUGUGCAUUACAAACCCAUACCAAAAUGUAGUGGCUUAAAAUUUACGUUUCACCAUGCGAUGAUGUGGCUGCAAAGUUGUGUUUAUCCUAGGGCUCACCCACAUGACUCCCUUCACACAGUUUCGACCCAGGUUUAGCCGUAGCAUAGUGUCCAGAAGGUGCAACAGCGAAGCUACUAAGCCUCACUGGGCCGCGUCAAGGAAGUCACACAAAAUCCAUCUGUGUCCUCUGAUGAGAGCAGACCAUCAGGCUAGUCUGCUAUUCAAGAGGAAGGGAAUAGUAUAACUUAAAACAGGUUCAUGGCAGCUAGGUAUGAUGUGACCGUAUCAUUCUGCUUUAUUUUGCUUUCUAGAAUAAUGCCAGUGUUUCAGCUCACCCUGUAGUGUAUUACCUCCCAGGAGAGGCGACUAAAACCAGGAAGAAAGAGGAAUCGCUUCUAGCUGAAGUGGUGGGUUUCAUGGAAAGUAUGGAAUCUAAAGGAAGAACAAUUUGAUUGGAGAGAGGGACAAGCAGACACAAACCAGCAGGCUCUCUCGGUUAGAAAAUUUAAAUGUGAAAUAAAUGAUGUACCCUAAAGUAAAAAGACCCCUUUAUUGACCACCCUGGAAAUAAGAGUAUUACCAGUUAUCUAGAACACUCUUAGAUAAUCUCCCAAUAGCUGUCCUGACCCUUCUCUCCAAAUGUAACCCCUCUUCUAACUGCUAGCCAGAGAUCCGUUUUGCCUGGCAUGUAACUGAUACAAGUACGUAUUUCACUACUGUGUUUGGGAUUCAUCUGUGUAUGUACAAGGGAUCUGUCCAUUGUCAUACUCUGUAUUUCAUCGGGUAAAGCAAGUAUAUUCAUUCUAUUGUU